CUAGACAUCACAACGAGCCCAACACAAUGAAAAUCACUCAAAGUGAAGCUAAAGCAAGCAAGAACGGACCAAGAAACGUUAGAGUGGCAUUUUUUAAAUAAUCAAAAGAAAAGCGCCACAAUACCAAAGGAUGGCACUUGAAGGCAAUACCCAUAAAAACACGAAGUGUCGCGACACCCAAGUCAAGGGCCGUAGAUGUAUUCAAAAAGAAUGAAGAUAAGGGUAAAAAGUGAGUUUAAUUUGAAGGAAGGGGCAUUAUGGUCAUUUUCUAUUUAUUAUUACUUUUUUAAAAAGAAAGAAAUCGGGAAAUUCUUUCGAGCACGUAACCCCUCUUCUCGAAUCUUUUCCCUUCAUCGGCUCCUUCCUCUCGUUGUCAUCUCUCCCUAUCUCUCUGUCAUUCUCUUCCGCUCACCAUCCCUCUCCAUCACCAUUGCUAAGUUGCACAUCCGCUCAUUGACGUCCCGUGAACACCAUCAUUGCCACCGUGCCAUUGUUGUCCUGCUUACCUUGUACCAUAUCUUAAAAUGUCACGCCAUCACCCAACCAACCGAAGAUCAAGUUAGCCACGGUGUCCAUGUUUCUUUCAAAUCCACCACUUAGAGUAAGGCGUCGUAGUGCUCGUUGUGAAAAGUGUGAGAAUGAAUAAAUGUAGUGGGACGCUGGUGGAAUCUCAAGUAACUCGCAUGAUACUGGUAAGAGCAACUCCCAUGUCUAAGCGAGGGGAAAAUCUCAGGUCUCAGAGGCAAACUUGUUGUGAAAUGAAUCCAACUUAUGGCGUUGUAGGGCUUGCUUUGUAAAGUUUGAGUAAGACGAUCAUGGGACGCUAGUUGAAUGUGGCUCCCAAGUAUGAAAAUGAAUUAAUGUGGUAGGUCGCUGGUGGAAUCCCAGGUAACUCGCAUGAUACUGGUGAGAACAAAUAUCAGGUCUAGACGAGGGAAAAAUCUCAGGUCUCAGAAUUGAGUAUGUUGCGAAAUGAAUCUAACGUAUGGCAUUGUAGCACUCGCUGUGUGAUGGGUGAACUAUUGUGGAUCAUGUGAUGUGUGUUAAUUGUUCGAUGCGACGUAUUUAAUCUAUUGUGACUCGAUAUUAUUAUGAUUA